AGGGCACUUAGCUUCUUCCACCAGAAGGGCCUCCAGGAUUUUGACACUCUGCUCCUGAGUGGUGAUGGAAAUACUCUCUACGUGGGGGCUCGAGAAGCCAUUCUGGCCUUGGAUAUCCAGGAUCCAGGGGUCCCCAGGCUAAAGAACAUGAUACCGUGGCCAGCCAGUGACAGAAAAAAGAGUGAAUGUGCCUUUAAGAAGAAGAGCAAUGAGACACAGUGUUUCAACUUCAUCCGUGUCCUGGUUUCUUACAAUGUCACCCAUCUCUACACCUGCGGCACCUUCGCCUUCAGCCCUGCUUGUACCUUCAUUAUGUGAGACCUUGGCGUUCUGGUCCCCCAGCCUCUCUCCCCAUUUAGGAACUUCAAGAUUCCUACCUGUUGCCCAUCUCGGAGGACAAGGUCAUGGAGGGAAAAGGCCAAAGCCCCUUUGACCCCGCUCACAAGCAUACGGCUGUCUUGGUGGAUGGGAUGCUCUAUUCUGGUACUAUGAACAACUUCCUGGGCAGUGAGCCCAUCCUGAUGCGCACACUGGGAUCCCAGCCUGUCCUCAAGACCGACAACUUCCUCCGCUGGCUGCAUCAUGACGCCUCCUUCGUGGCAGCCAUCCCUUCGACCCAGGUCGUCUACUUCUUCUUCGAGGAGACAGCCAGCGAGUUUGACUUCUUUGAGAGGCUCCACACAUCGCGGGUGGCUAGAGUCUGCAAGAAUGACGUGGGCGGCGAAAAGCUGCUGCAGAAGAAGUGGACCACCUUCCUGAAGGCCCAGCUGCUCUGCACCCAGCCGGGGCAGCUGCCCUUCAACGUCAUCCGCCACGCGGUCCUGCUCCCCGCCGAUUCUCCCACAGCUCCCCACAUCUACGCAGUUUUCACCUCCCAGUGGCAGGUUGGCGGGACCAGGAGCUCUGCGGUUUGUGCCUUCUCUCUCUUGGAGAUUGAACGUGUCUUUAAGGGGAAAUACAAAGAGUUGAACAAAGAAACUUCACGCUGGACUACUUAUAGGGGCCCUGAGACCAACCCCCGGCCAGGCAGUUGCUCAGUGGGCCCCUCCUCUGAUAAGGCCUUGACCUUCAUGAAGGACCAUUUCCUGAUGGAUGAGCAGGUGGUGGGGACGCCCCUGCUGGUGAAAUCUGGCGUGGAGUAUACACGGCUUGCAGUGGAGACAGCCCAGGGCCUUGAUGGGCACAGCCAUCUUGUCAUGUACCUGGGAACCACCACAGGGUCGCUCCACAAGGCUGUGGUGAGUGGGGACAGCAGUGCUCAUCUGGUGGAAGAGAUUCAGCUGUUCCCUGACCCUGAACCUGUUCGCAACCUGCAGCUGGCCCCCACCCAGGGUGCAGUGUUUGUAGGCUUCUCAGGAGGUGUCUGGAGGGUGCCCCGAGCCAACUGUAGUGUCUAUGAGAGCUGUGUGGACUGUGUCCUUGCCCGGGACCCCCACUGUGCCUGGGACCCUGAGUCCCGAACCUGUUGCCUCCUGUCU
rnacentral:sRNA from 1 species